AGUGAACGCUGGCGGUAGGCCUAACACAUGCAAGUCGAACGGCAGCACAGGAGAGCUUGCUCUCUGGGUGGCGAGUGGCGGACGGGUGAGGAAUACAUCGGAAUCUACUCUGUCGUGGGGGAUAACGUAGGGAAACUUACGCUAAUACCGCAUACGACCUACGGGUGAAAGCAGGGGAUCUUCGGACCUUGCGCGAUUGAAUGAGCCGAUGUCGGAUUAGCUAGUUGGCGGGGUAAAGGCCCACCAAGGCGACGAUCCGUAGCUGGUCUGAAAGGAUGAUCAGCCACACUGGAACUGAGACACGGUCCAGACUCCUACGGGAGGCAGCAGUGGGGAAUAUUGGACAAUGGGCGCAAGCCUGAUCCAGCCAUACCGCGUGGGUGAAGAAGGCCUUCGGGUUGUAAAGCCCUUUUGUUGGGAAAGAAAUCCAUCUGGUUAAUACCCGGAUGGGAUGACGGUACCCAAAGAAUAAGCACCGGCUAACUUCGUGCCAGCAGCCGCCGUAA
rnacentral:rRNA from 1 species